ACGAACGCUGGCGGCAUGCCUAACACAUGCAAGUCGAACGAGACCUUCGGGUCUAGUGGCGCACGGGUGCGUCACGCGUGGGAACCUGCCCUUAGGUUCGGAAUAACUCCCCGAAAGGGGUGCUAAUACCGGAUAAUGUCUUCGGACCAAAGAUUUAUCGCCUUUGGAUGGGCCCGCGUUGGAUUAGCUAGUUGGUAGGGUAAAAGCCUACCAAGGCGACGAUCCAUAGCUGGUCUGAGAGGAUGAUCAGCCACACUGGGACUGAGACACGGCCCAGACUCCUACGGGAGGCAGCAGUGGGGAAUGUUGGACAAUGGGCGAAAGCCUGAUCCAGCAAUGCCGCGUGAGUGAUGAAGGCCUUAGGGUUGUAAAGCUCUUUUACCCGGGAUGAUAAUGACAGUACCGGGAGAAUAAGCUCCGGCUAACUCCGUG
rnacentral:rRNA from 1 species